UUGAAGUUGGAAACACGGUCAGUUGUAUGUACAUUAAAAUACACUAAACGAAUUGCAAACUAGCAAGAUUCUUGUAUCUAACCCAUAAUUGUAAAUUUUUACUUCGCUUCGAAGCAGACAUAUACCGAUGUGGAUCUUGUUUCAUGUAGGAAGAGGUUCCUCUCUGCUUGUACUCAGGCGUCAAGAGAGAAAAAGAGAAGGAAUAGAAAUUGGAAGAUGAAGCAAACCAAUACGAAAAGUUCAUACAAUACGAAUAAGCCUCUUAUAGAAUAACAUCUGAAUGCAUCAUGUACAAGUGCACUUGAGUUUGUUAAAAAUGAUCGUGUUCUUUUGUCAAACUCACAUUGCACUUUUCUCACAUGAUAUAACGAAUUGCAUAAAAAUUAACGGUUCAUACCAUAUUGAGUGUCGAAUUUAAUAAAAGUUUCACAAAAUUCCCAGCAAACACAAAGUAACAGUAAUAUACAUGUUAGUUAUAAUUUCCCACUCAUUAAUAUAAAUACAACAUAACAUACGUGUUAUGUAACAAUUACAUUGUUGAGUGGGAAAUUAUAACUAACAUGUAUAUUACUGUUACUUUGUGUUUGCUGGGUUGAAUCUUAAAAGUUUUGUGAUUAGAAAGAUAUAUAAAUAUGUUAAGUAAGAGAAAUCUUAACUUUAUCAUUAACAUUUAUUCAAGAGACAAAAUGAGAUAAAUAUUGUAUAUCCAAAUAAAACUUAAAUUAUAAAAAUUGAAUUAUAAUAUUUUAAGUAUUUGAGGAUCAUAUUUAUUAAAAAUUAGUAAUAACACUAAACUUUGUGCAUACAUAAAAAUGGUUGGGAUUUAAAUUUUUAUCUAUUUUACUGUGAGGAAGUAUAAGUUAUGUUAUCUGUUACUUUGUUUUUUUUCCUAGAACGCUCAUGAUUGAAUAUUCAUAUAUAUCUGUCAAGGGCUCAUAUUUUAUGCGAAAAAACAUACAGUCUGUAAUGAAUGACUAGUAAUAACCUGAUUAAUUUAUAACAUUUCAUUAUAACAACAUUUCGAUCUAAAAAAAUAUAUGUUACAUUCUUUGUGUGCAUAUAUAAAUGUACAUGUAAAUUGUAAAGUUCGUUUUUUAAAUAGAAAUAUGAUAAUCAUAAUGUUGACAAUAGAAUGCUAUAAAUAAAUCGAUUUCUAUUAAUCAUGUA